rnacentral:rRNA from 4 species
GAUUCGCCAUGCAUGUCUAAGUACAUGCCGUAUUAAGGCGAAACCGCGAAUGGCUCAUUAAAUCAGUCAUGGUUCCUUGGAUCGUACCUUACUACUUGGAUAACUGUGGCAAUUCUAGAGCUAAUACAUGCAGCAGAGCUCCGACCUUCGGGGACGAGCGCUUUUAUUAGACCAAAACCAAUCGGACCUCGUGUCCGUCCUUUGUGGUGACUCUGUAUAACUUUGGGCUGAUCGCACGGGCCUGUCCCGGCGACGUAUCUUUCAAGUGUCUGCCUUAUCAACUUUCGAUGGUAGGUUACGCGCCUACCAUGGUCGUAACGGGUAACGGGGAAUCAGGGUUCGAUUCCGGAGAGGGAGCCUGAGAAACGGCUACCACAUCCAAGGAAGGCAGCAGGCGCGCAAAUUACCCACUCCCAGAACGGGGAGGUAGUGACGAAAAAUAACAAUACGGGACUCUUUUGAGACCCCGUAAUUGGAAUGAGUACACUCUAAAUCCUUUAACGAGGAUCCAUUGGAGGGUAAGUCUGGUGCCAGCAACCGCGGUAAUUCCAGCUCCAAUAGCGUAUAUUAAAGUUGUUGCGGUUAAAAAGCUCGUAGUUGGAUCUCAGUUCCAGACGGGUGGUCCGCCUACCGGUGGUUACUGCCUGUUCUGAACAGUCAGCCGGUUUCUCUUGAUGAUCUUCACCGGUUGUCUUGGGUGACCGGCAAGUUUACUUUGAAAAAAUUAGAGUGCUCAAAGCAGGCGUGACGCCUGAAUAAUGGUGCAUGGAAUAAUGGAAUAGGACCUCGGUUCUAUUUUGUUGGUUUUCGGAACACGAGGUAAUGAUUAAGAGGGACAGACGGGGGCAUUCGUAUUGCGACGCUAGAGGUGAAAUUCUUGGACCGUCGCAAGACGAACUACUGCGAAAGCAUUUGCCAAGAAUGUUUCCAUUAAUCAAGAACGAAAGUUAGAGGUUCGAAGGCGAUCAGAUACCGCCCUAGUUCUAACCAUAAACGAUGCCAGCCAGCGAUCCGGCUGUGU